AUGCACGCUGGCGGCGUGCCUCAUACAUGCCAGUCGCGCGAACAGACGAGGAGCUUGCUCCUCUGACGUUAGCGGCGGACGGGUGAGUAACACGUGGAUAACCUACCUAUAAGACUGGGAUAACUUCGGGAAACCGGAGCUAAUACCGGAUAAUAUAUUGAACCGCAUGGUUCAAUAGUGAAAGACGGUUUUGCUGUCACUUAUAGAUGGAUCCGCGCCGCAUUAGCUAGUUGGUAAGGUAACGGCUUACCAAGGCAACGAUGCGUAGCCGACCUGAGAGGGUGAUCGGCCACACUGGAACUGAGACACGGUCCAGACUCCUACGGGAGGCAGCAGUAGGGAAUCUUCCGCAAUGGGCGAAAGCCUGACGGAGCAAUGCCGCGUGAGUGAUGAAGGUCUUCGGAUCGUAAAACUCUGUUAUUAGGGAAGAACAAAUGUGUAAGUAACUAUGCACGUCUUGACGGUACCUAAUCAGAAAGCCACGGCUAACUACGUG
rnacentral:rRNA from 1 species